rnacentral:rRNA from 1 species
UACGUAGGGUGCAAGCGUUAAUCGGAAUUACUGGGCGUAAAGCGUGCGCAGGCGGCUUUGCAAGACAGAUGUGAAAUCCCCGGGCUUAACCUGGGAACUGCAUUUGUGACUGCAUGGCUAGAGUGCGGCAGAGGGGGAUGGAAUUCCGCGUGUAGCAGUGAAAUGCGUAGAUAUGCGGAGGAACACCGAUGGCGAAAGCAAUCCCCUGGGCCUGCACUGACGCUCAUGCACGAAAGCGUGGGGAGCAAACAGG